GAUGAACGCUGGCGGCGUGCCUAAUACAUGCAAGUCGAGCGAACGGACGAGAAACUUGCUUCUCUGAUGUUCGCGGCGGACGGGUGAGUAACAUGUGGAUAACCUACCUAUAAGACUGGGAUAAAUUCGGGAAACCGGAGCUAAUACCGGAUAAUCUUUUGAACCGCAUGGUUCAAAAGUGAAAGACGGUCUUGCUGUCACUUAUAGAUGGAUCCGCGCUGCAUUAGCUAGUUGGUAAGGUAACGGCUUACCAAGGCAACGAUGCAUAGCCGACCUGAGAGGGUGAUCGGCCACACUGGAACUGAGACACGGUCCAGACUCCUACGGGAGGCAGCAGUAGGGAAUCUUCCGCAAUGGGCGAAAGCCUGACGGAGCAACGCCGCGUGAGUGAUGAAGGUCUUCGGAUCGUAAAACUCUGUUAUUAGGGAAGAACAUAUGUGUAAGUAACUGUGCACAUCUUGACGGUACCUGAUCAGAAAGCCACGGCUAACUACGUG
rnacentral:rRNA from 1 species